UGGGCGUAAGCGCGCGCAGGUGGUUUCUUAAGUCUGAUGUGAAAGCCCACGCCUCAACCGUGGAGGGUCAUUGGAAACUGGGAGACUUGAGUGCCUAAGAGGAAAGUGGAAUUCCAUGUGUAGCGGUGAAAUGCGUAGAGAUAUGGAGGAACACCAGUGGCGAAGGCGACUUUCUGGUCUGUAACUGACACUGAGGCGCGAAAGCGUGGGGAGCAAACAGGAUUAGAUACCCUGGUAGUCCACGCCGUAAACGAUGAGUGCUAAGUGUUACAGGGUUUCCGCCCUUUAGUGCUGAAGUUAACGCAUUAAGCACUCCGCCUGGGGAGUACGGCCGCAAGGCUGAAACUCAAAGGAAUUGACGGGGGCCCGCACAAGCGGUGGAUCAUGUGG
rnacentral:rRNA from 1 species